UACGUAGGCAGCGAGCGUUGUUCGGAAUUACUGGGCGUAAAGAGUGUGUAGGCGGUGCUCUAAGUUCGGUGUGAAAUCUCCCGGCUCAACUGGGAGGGUGGUCGCGAGACGGCAGGGCUUGAGGCUCGGUGAGGGGCGUGGAAUUCCGGGUGGAGCGGUGAAAUGCGUAGAGAUCCGGAGGAACACCGACGGCGUAGGCAGCGCCCUAGACGAGACCUGACGCUCAGGCACGAAAGCGCGGGGAGCGAACAGG
rnacentral:rRNA from 1 species